rnacentral:rRNA from 1 species
AGAGUUUGAUCAUGGCUCAGAACGAACGCUGGCGGCAUGCCUAACACAUGCAAGUCGAACGAGGCCUUCGGGUCUAGUGGCGCACGGGUGCGUAACGCGUGGGAAUCUGCCCUCAGGUACGGAAUAACUCAGGGAAACUUGAGCUAAUACCGUAUAAUGACUUCGGUCCAAAGAUUUAUCGCCUGAGGAUGAGCCCGCGUCGGAUUAGCUAGUUGGUGAGGUAAAAGCUCACCAAGGCGACGAUCCGUAGCUGGUCUGAGAGGAUGAUCAGCCACACUGGGACUGAGACACGGCCCAGACUCCUACGGGAGGCAGCAGUGGGGAAUAUUGGACAAUGGGCGAAAGCCUGAUCCAGCAAUGCCGCGUGAGUGAUGAAGGCCUUAGGGUUGUAAAGCUCUUUUACCCGGGAAGAUAAUGACUGUACCGGGAGAAUAAGCCCCGGCUAACUCCGUGCCAGCAGCCGCGGUAAUAC